UGUACACUAAGAAACAAGGGAUAUGUUGUCAGCUGUACCCGCAUCGCAAGUGGAUAUCGUCUCAUGUAUGACAGUGAAACUUUUGAGAUAAAGACCAAUCUCGAAUUCCAGCUGCAUACCUGGUUAACUAAAUGAACCUUUUUUCCCUGAAGGAUACACUAACACAGGCCCAACAGACAGAGAGACAUUUUUUCUGAAUAUAAACUGGUACCUGACAAUUCUUAACUAACCAAGUACAAACUUCAGAGAGACACGGAUUAGAUUAAUGUAUGUCAAAGGUAUAAUGAAGUUCCCCCGCUCAAACACACAUCCAGCAUAAGCAGAUGAAAGGUGCUUGGGUAUACACAAGAGAGGAACCAAUGGACGAUACUUUGGAACAAACUAGAACAUGCCAGCCCAAACCAUUAACUGGGUUAUGUUUAGAGGAUAUCAGGAAAAAAACUGGAUAAUAUUAAGGGAGAAUGUCAGAAAGCAAGAAUAUAGCCUAUCCACCUCAUUGGGCUGCUCUGGCUGUUGCCAGGGAUGCGGCUGUUGCUGUGAGCGUGCGGCAAUGAUGUCAUCGACGCAUGUCUAUUCCCCUCUC